GGUUAAGCGACUAAGCGUACACGGUGGAUGCCCUGGCAGUCAGAGGCGAUGAAGGACGUGCUAAUCUGCGAAAAGCGUCGGUAAGGUGAUAUGAACCGUUACAGCCGGCGAUGUCCGAAUGGGGAAACCCAGUGUGAUUCGUCACACUAUCGUUAACUGAAUACAUAGGUUAACGAGGCGAACCGGGGGAACUGAAACAUCUAAGUACCCCGAGGAAAAGAAAUCAACCGAGAUUCCCCCAGUAGCGGCGAGCGAACGGGGAGCAGCCCAGAGUCUGAAUCAGCUUGUGUGUUAGUGGAACGGUCUGGAAAGUCCGACGGUACAGGGUGAUAGUCCCGUACACCAAAAUGCACAGGCUGUGAACUCGAAGAGUAGGGCGGGACACGUGGUAUCCUGUCUGAAUAUGGGGGGACCAUCCUCCAAGGCUAAAUACUCCUGACUGACCGAUAGUGAACCAGUACCGUGAGGGAAAGGCGAAAAGAACCCCGGCGAGGGGAGUGAAAAAGAACCUGAAACCGUGUACGUACAAGCAGUGGGAGCACCUUCGGGUGUGACUGCGUACCUUUUGUAUAAUGGGUCAGCGACUUAUAUUCUGUAGCAAGGUUAACCGUAUAGGGGAGCCGCAGGGAAACCGAGUCUUAACUGGGCGUUAAGUUGCAGGGUAUAGACCCGAAACCCGGUGAUCUAGCCAUGGGCAGGUUGAAGGUUGGGUAACACUAACUGGAGGACCGAACCGACUAAUGUUGAAAAAUUAGCGGAUGACUUGUGGCUGGGGGUGAAAGGCCAAUCAAACCGGGAGAUAGCUGGUUCUCCCCGAAAGCU
rnacentral:rRNA from 2 species